rnacentral:rRNA from 1 species
GAUCAUGGCUCAGGAUGAACGCUGGCGGCGUGCUUAACACAUGCAAGUCGAACGAAGCACUUUAUUUGAUUUCCUUCGGGACUGAUUAUUUUGUGACUGAGUGGCGGACGGGUGAGUAACGCGUGGGUAACCUGCCUUGUACGAGGGGGAUAACAGUUGGAAACGGCUGCUAAUACCGCAUAAGCGCACAGCAUCGCAUGGUGCAGUGUGAAAAACUCCGGUGGUAUAAGAUGGACCCGCGG